AGAGGGUGCAAGCGUUAAUCGGAAUUACUGGGCGUAAAGCGCGCGUAGGCGGUUAUUUAAGUCGGGUGUGAAAGCCCCGGGCUCAACCUGGGAAUUGCAUCCGAUACUGAGUGACUAGAGUAUGAGAGAGGGAGGUAGAAUUCCACGUGUAGCGGUGAAAUGCGUAGAUAUGUGGAGGAAUACCGGUGGCGAAGGCGGCCUCCUGGCUUAAUACUGACGCUAAGGUGCGAAAGCGUGGGGAUCAAACAGGAUUAGAUACCCUGGUAGUCCACGCCGUAAACGAUGUCAACUAGCCGUUGGGCACCUUAGUGUGCUUGGUGGCGCAGCUAACGCGAUAAGUUGACCGCCUGGGGAGUACGGUCGCAAGAUUA
rnacentral:rRNA from 1 species